UGCAUCACUGCAGGAGACUUUCAAAAC
rnacentral:piRNA from 1 species